UGGCAAUGAUGACAAAAAAGGCCGGACUUACGGCUGCUACUGUGAGGUCGGGUAGUAGUUUGAUGAAAAAUCUCAUAAAAGGUUGUCGUCUGAGCCAG
rnacentral:snoRNA from 1 species